rnacentral:rRNA from 1 species
UACGGAGGGUGCGAGCGUUGUCCGGAAUCAUUGGGCGUAAAGAGCGUGUAGGCGGCCCGGUAAGUCCGCUGUGAAAGUCGGGGGCUCAACCCUCGGAUGCCGGUGGAUACUGUCGGGCUCGAGUACGGAAGAGGCGAGUGGAAUUCCUGGUGUAGCGGUGAAAUGCGCAGAUAUCAGGAGGAACACCUAUUGCGAAGGCAGCUCGCUGGGACGUUACUGACGCUGAGACGCGAAAGCGUGGGGAGCAAACAGG